GCCGAGGUCCAAGCGGGUAGUGAAACCGUCCCGAAGGGAAAGUCACUCAAUCUUGCAGCAAUUAGUAUUUCUUUAUUUCACUCUCAACAACUGAGGAAUUGAGUUGAGGGGGUAACAAACUAAAAUCUCUAUUCCCUCCUCAUUUUCUAAAAUUCUAAACCCUCGCUGAUUUAAUUACAUAAAUGCAAUAAAUUCUUUAAAUUUUUUUUUAUAUAUAAAAAUAGUCCAUUUCCAUGGAUGUUCCUGUAUAGACGAGCUUUCACUCCGUUUCUAUCUCUUCGAAAACCGCCUUCUACUUGUAUCGCUCGUUGCCGCUGCUGCCGCCGCCUCGUAGGAGAUUGAAUUGCAAUGGGCGUUGUCGUCUUCCAUUUAAAGCAAGUCCAUAGAAGGAUGAUGACGAUGAUGGUUCAUUGAGUUUUAAAAGCGACGGUGUGAGUUUUUGGGAGGAGAAUAAUCCGGCAAAGACUUCGUUCAUGUAAUAAGCACUGGUAGCAGGAAGGAUGCCUUGGUUGAUUUCUUCUUCGGCUCGCCUUUCCAGUUCUCGCCUUCGCUCCUCCGAUCUUGGCAUCGCUGCAAUUUUUUUCUUAUUUUAUUUUAUUUAUAGAUCCUUUUGUGUUUCUUUUAUAAAAAAUAUCGUGUUCAUGCAGGAAUGUUUAGAUCAAAGAUUCCUAGAAUGUUCAAUUGCAAGAAAAGGUUCUUGAAAAAGGUUUGUGUUUCUAAUUUUCUUUACUGCUUUUUUUUUUCUGUUCUUUUCUUUUUUUGCAGCACAAAACAAAUAAAGAAUAAUCCAAGGGUUAUGGAAGUUUCGCAGUUUGUAAAGGGUGAAGAUGCUGAAGUGCCUAAGAAGUAAGGAAUUCUUUCUGUUUGUGCUGCAUCUAUGCUGAAACGAUAAUUUCACUUAGAUAUUUACAGGCAACCAUGAACCUGAAGAAUUUUAUCUCUUCCUCUUUCUUUCUGGUAAUCUUGAAACUUUCCUCUAGAUCAUUGAGAUUAUUUGAUCUAUUUCUGACCUGAUUGUCUGAUUUUCACACAGGGAGCUGAGCGAGAUUCACUAAAGAAGUGGAUUCCUAUUAUGGAGAUGCAGUACAGGGGAGCUGUAUACAGGGAUUGGUGCCAAGGAGGUCUUCCAGAAGGGUCAUCUGAUCCUCGAGGAUGGAAGAAUGUAUCUACUUUAACCAUGGGGAUGUAUUCCAGGGAUCGUGGAGGGAUGAUGUAAUACAUGGCAAGGUUGGUCUCGUGUCAUCUCCCUCAUCCUCCUAACUUGACUGAUGACUUUCAAAUGAAGAGGAUUUCUAAUUUUCUAUGACCAGCUUCAUCAUCCUCUAGCAUAGUACGAGACACCAUGUUUUGAGUCCUUUUCAGAUAGAAUCGUUCUUAGUGACUGCAUUGAGGUCAUAUUGUGGUUAUGUCUAGCACUACAAUCUCCAUUUUUGGAUGGCUCAAUAACAUUAACCUUUCGGAAGCAUUUCAGAGAUUAAACUAUACAUAUUUAGGUGAAACUUAGUCCUAAGAGAUGGUGAUUUUUGGUACACAUUCUGACUGCGUUGAGAAUCAUUUAGGAAGUUACUUUAGAAAGAGGCAAUAUAUCCACUUGUGCCUGUGCGUGGUGGGCGUGUGCAAGUGGAGGUGGGGGUGGGGGUGGUGAGGGUCUAUGCACUGUAUCCUCUUCCCAUUCAUAUCCUCAAAAAACAUUUGCCCAAUAAUUUCAAUCAGACCACCAUAGAUGUAGUGCACUUUUUUGCUUAACGUCCAGGGCCCUUUUUUCUGAACUGCCACUUCUCCUUUUAUUGUUGAGGAUGGUGAGGGUCUCUGCUCUAUAUCCUCUUCUUGUCCAUGUCCCCGCAAAAAAAAAAAAAGAAAAAAAAAAAAAAGAAAAGGUUCCCAUAAUUCCAAUCAAGACCAAAUGGAUGUAGAACAUUUUUUUGCUCUACAUCCAAUUCUCAUCUUUCUAAACUGCCGCGCCCUUUAUUGUUGGUGUGGAAACUAUUGCAAUUCAGACUUUGUUUUUUGAGCAUUUCUCUGUUUCUUUGGACAUCUAGGGUUGGUUUUAUUUUCAUACCAGGGAUAGAUGGUUUGCAAACUUUUGGAAGGGAAAGGCCAGUGGAAAAAGUUUUGCUUCUAUUCAAAGUCUGGCGAUGUCUGUUUUGGCCAUUUCCAAGAUGGGUGGUGAUAUGAUCACUUCGUUUGUAUUGAUUUUGAUGGAGCAAGGUCCGUGUACUUGAUUCGCUAUGGAACUCUUUUUAAUCUCAACAGAUCUACAAUAACAGUGAUUUGGUAUAGUGAUUUGGUAUAGAAAUCUAAUUCCAUGCCAAUUCUCCAUGUGCAUGGGUGUGCUGAACAUGGGAUGAGGGUGUUCUUGCAAGCCGUGAGUAAUUGGAUCUGAUAGUGGCUGUGGAUAAAGCCUAUGUACUCAUAGAAUGUUAGUUACAUUUUUCAUUUUUUUUUUUAAAUUGCCUGCGAAGCCUUUGUUUGAUUCUCGAGGUUCAGCAGGUAUUCCUUACAUUUGAAAGUUAUUUUCAGAACCUUGCUACAGCCAACCCCGUUAUCUGGUGGUAUUCUUCUAUCUCUCCCCCGGUAGCGUGUUCACUUGAAGGUGUAGUUUGUAAAUCAUUUGUGCAUUUAGUUUUUGAAUAGUCAAAAGUUUUCUUCAGAGUUCGGACGGCUGACUUCGUAUAAAGCAACCGGAGGACUUUUUUUUUUUUUAUGGUAUUUGCAGAUUUGGUUACUUGGUUUCGUGUGAUUUCUGCCGGAAUUUCACGCGAGAUAGCGAAUUCUUGAAAGCUUUGGAUGUACCAUAAUCAGCCACAGAUAUUGGGAUGAAACAGUUGGGGUUCAAUUCAGAUUGCUAGAGAACUAGGGAUUUAUUCAAGGAUUGAACUAGGGAUUUCUGCCGGAUGAAUGAUCUCAUGUGAUAUGUUAUUUUAUGUUCGACGAUGAGUGGUCUUAUUAGAUCAACUCAAGACAUCCUAUUGGUUGAUUUCAAGAAUGCAUUUUCAUAUCA